rnacentral:misc_RNA from 1 species
GAUGAAGAACGUAGCGAAAUGCGAUAAGUAAUGUGAAUUGCAGAAUUCAGUGAAUCAUCGAAUCUUUGAACGCACCUUGCGCUCCUUGGUAUUCCGAGGAGCAUGCCUGUUUGAGUGUCAUGAAAUUCUCAACCUUUUCAACUUUUGUUAGCUUGAGAAGGCUUGGACCUUGGAGGUUGCUGGAUUUUGCGAAUUCGGCUCCCCUGAAAUACAUUAGCACGACCUUUGCUGAUGCAUCUUUGGUAUGAUAAUUAUCUAUAUCAUAGAGAUAUUCAGUUCUCCUGUAUAGGGGAAGGUUGGCUUCUAAUCGUCUUACUAGACAAUCUUGACAAUUUUGACCUCAAAUCAAGUAGGACUACCCGCUGAACUUAAGCAUAUCAAUAAGCGGAGGA